ACAGGCUUAACACAUGCAAGUCGAGGGGCAGCAUGGUCUUAGCUUGCUAAGGCCGAUGGCGACCGGCGCACGGGUGAGUAACACGUAUCCAACCUGCCGUCUACUCUUGGACAGCCUUCUGAAAGGAAGAUUAAUACAAGAUGGCAUCAUGAGUCCGCAUGUUCACAUGAUUAAAGGUAUUCCGGUAGACGAUGGGGAUGCGUUCCAUUAGAUAGUAGGCGGGGUAACGGCCCACCUAGUCUUCGAUGGAUAGGGGUUCUGAGAGGAAGGUCCCCCACAUUGGAACUGAGACACGGUCCAAACUCCUACGGGAGGCAGCAGUGAGGAAUAUUGGUCAAUGGGCGAGAGCCUGAACCAGCCAAGUAGCGUGAAGGAUGACUGCCCUAUGGGUUGUAAACUUCUUUUAUAAAGGAAUAAAGUCGGGUAUGGAUACCCGUUUGCAUGUACUUUAUGAAUAAGGAUCGGCUAACUCCGUGCCAGCAGCCGCGGUAAUACGGAGGAUCCGAGCGUUAUCCGGAUUUAUUGGGUUUAAAGGGAGCGUAGAUGGAUGUUUAAGUCAGUUGUGAAAGUUUGCGGCUCAACCGUAAAAUUGCAGUUGAUACUGGAUAUCUUGAGUGCAGUUGAGGCAGGCGGAAUUCGUGGUGUAGCGGUGAAAUGCUUAGAUAUCACGAAGAACUCCGAUUGCGAAGGCAGCCUGCUAAGCUGCAACUGACAUUGAGGCUCGAAAAGUGUGGGUAUCAAACAGGAUUAGAUACCCUGGUAGUCCACACGGUAAACGAUGAAUACUCGCUGUUUGCGAUAUACAGCAAGCGGCCAAGCGAAAGCGUUAAGUAUUCCACCUGGGGAGUACGCCGGCAACGGUGAAACUCAAAGGAAUUGACGGGGGCCCGCACAAGCGGAGGAACAUGUGGUUUAAUUCGAUGAUACGCGAGGAACCUUACCCGGGCUUAAAUUGCAGAUGAAUUACGGUGAAAGCCGUAAGCCGCAAGGCAUCUGUGAAGGUGCUGCAUGGUUGUCGUCAGCUCGUGCCGUGAGGUGUCGGCUUAAGUGCCAUAACGAGCGCAACCCUUGUUGUCAGUUACUAACAGGUUCCGCUGAGGACUCUGACAAGACUGCCAUCGUAAGAUGUGAGGAAGGUGGGGAUGACGUCAAAUCAGCACGGCCCUUACGUCCGGGGCUACACACGUGUUACAAUGGGGGGUACAGAGGGCCGCUACCACGCGAGUGGAUGCCAAUCCCCAAACCUCUCUCAGUUCGGACUGGAGUCUGCAACCCGACUCCACGAAGCUGGAUUCGCUAGUAAUCGCGCACCAGCCACGGCGCGGUGAAUACGUUCCCGGGCCUUGUACACACCGCCCGUCAAGCCAUGGGAGCCGGGGGUACCUGAAGUGCGUAACCGCGAGGAGCGCCCUAGGGUAAAACUGGUGACUGGGGCUAAGUCAUAA
rnacentral:rRNA from 1 species